GGGCGCCAAUGCGGUUGACUGUAUGCAGGAUGCUUGCUCUUGGAACACAGCCACCACGUUGGGAGGAAGCCCAGGCCACGUGGAGAGGUCCCAAGUAGGUGUUUAACUGAGGUCCCUGGUGACAGCUGGCAUUGACACCCAUGUGGGAUUACCUUUGAUCCUGGACAGUAUAUGCUCCCUGCUGAUUCUCCUCUUCCCUGCCUUUGGCUGCAUCCAUCCCUCAGAGUGAAGCCCUACUGCCGAGCCUCCAGGAAGCUCGUUUCCCUCACACUUUCUUCCCCAGCAGGACAGUCUACAUCCUUCCCAAACCUGGAGCUCUUGGCAAGAACAGGCUGGGUCUUUGAUAUCUAUAACAUCAGGAUGAAACCUUUGCAGUUGCCCCAUGUUGCAAAUGCAUGCUGACUGCAGGUGUUCUAACUCAGAGAUGAAUAAAUAUUCGGC
rnacentral:lncRNA from 1 species